UUGGAGGAUGUAGCUGGGAACCCAAUGAGCAAUGAGACCGUGGGGGUUUAUGUGGGGAAUGAUGGAACCAAUUUCACCUAUACAACUGGGCAGGAUGGAACAGCAGAGUUCUCCAUUGAUACCAGCUCUUUCCAACUGUCAUCUGUCAGGAUCAAGGUGAUGCUCCAAUGAGGGAUUAUGGUUCUUCUGUGGUUCUUCUCUAUAAAGCACAAGAAGAAAUUAUCCUCUGCUCUGUUUGUGUCCUAACCCAGCUACAAGACUGGAGACUACUGCUCUGGGCACAGGUGGCUGACUGCAUCGUAUGAAGAGGUUACACGCACCGUUAACCAUUUCUACUCCCGGAGCAAAAGCUUUCUGAAAAUCCAGCCUAUCCACAGGACUUUGGAGUGUCAAAUAGUAGAGAAAGUCAAUGUGCAUUACAUUCCGACUCCUGAGGGUGUUGGCGAGGCAAGAAACGCAGUGUUUCACUACCUGGUAAUGGCAAAGGGAGGUAUAGUAGAAAAUGGCAAACACACAUUGGCACUUAUCCCAAAUCAAGGAGAACACAUUUAUAUCCCACGGGUGUAUCAAACACAAUGGGAAUAGAGACACCAAGUGACAGAAAUGCUAAUGUAGAGUCUGAUUCUGAACUAAGUGGAGCAGAGCAAAACAAAUAUGAAGAAAAUGGAAAUGUGGCAGAAUCUUCUAUUACUGAAGCCAGACUUCACUCCAAAGCAAAGCGCCGCCUGAGGAAGAAUUCCCCCCGGGACUCGGGGAGAGGCGACUCGGUCAGUGAUAAUGGGGAAAGCACGAGAGUUCGGGGGAGUUCCAGAAAUCUGUCUUGCCCUGCCCCCGCCUUUCCCUGGUAGGGAGCAGAAGUUUUCUCUGGAGACUCUGGAGAAGGGCCAGAACUAGGGGUAACUAGGCAGAAAGGGUUUGUGUUGUGCCCCCCAAGUGUUGCCCCCUAGGCACGUGCCCCUUCUGCCUUCCCCUAGUUCCGGCCCUGCCCAUAGGCUUCUUUUCCCCCUGGUUCUCCCCUGUGUGGGUGGGAGAGAUAGACAGACUGCAGCCCUGUUCAACAUGAGCCAAUGAAUGGGGCUUGUACUGAACAUUCCUUUUGCCUAUAUGAAGCCGCUUUCACUUUAGCACUUCCUUGAUAAACCUAUGUACAGUGGGCAUGGAACUGUUCAGUAGCCUCUGGGGUUCAUAUU